AGCUAUUUUUUCUUUCAGCAAUAUCAAAACACAACGUAAAUACUCCCUUAAGACUGUUAACAUUUAAGGUAGAAUCAACUGCAAUAAAGUGUCUGUUCUCUUUACUGUUUUCUCAACUAAAGUCUUCUUUGCUUUCAAGCAACAAUUAAGCUGUAACAAAAGUUCAAUCUAGAGUGAAUUUUAAGAAAAGCAACCAUAUGUUCAUCUUUUUUUUUCUUUUUGAGACAGGAUCUCACUCUGCCCCCAAGGCUGGAGUGCAGUGGCAUGAUCUCGGCUCAUUGCAGCCUAAACCUCCCAGGCUCAAGCAAUCCUCCCACCUCAGCUGGGACUACAGGCGCACACACUACCAUGCCUGGCUAAUUUUUUUGUGGUUUUUUUUUUUUUUUUU
rnacentral:lncRNA from 1 species